GGUGUGGCUCAGUUUGGUAGAGCGCCUGGUUUGGGACCAGGAGGUCGCAGGUUCGAAUCCUGUCACC
rnacentral:tRNA from 1 species